UACAGAGGGUGCAAGCGUUAAUCGGAGUUACUGGGCGUAAAGGGCGCGUAGGCGGUUGUUUAAGUGAGAUGUGAAAUCCCUGGGCUUAACCUAGGAACUGCAUCUUAUACUGGGCAACUGGAGUACUGUAGAGGGUAGUGGAAUUUCCGGUGUAGCGGUGAAAUGCGUAGAGAUCGGAAGGAACACCAGUGGCGAAGGCGGCUACCUGGACAGAUACUGACGCUGAGGCGCGAGAGCGUGGGGAGCAAACAGG
rnacentral:rRNA from 1 species